GCCCCUGCAGCUCCCAUUGGCCUGGAACUGUGAGCAUUCAUGGCCCACCAUACAAUUUCCAUGCCCAGAUAUAGCCCUCAGGCCAAAAAGUUUGCCCACCUCUGGACUAAAGCACAUCUUCUAAAAAGGCAUCCGGUCUUGAUUAGAGGGCUUCAGGAGAUGAAGAACCCACCAUUUCCCAGGAUACUUUGUUUCAGUAGUUAAUCACCCUCAUUAUUAAAAAUUUGAUUAAUUUCUGCUUUGAAUUUGUCUGGCUUCAACUUCUAGCCACUGAUCCUUGUUAGGCCUUUCUCUGCUAGGUUAUAGAACCCUUUAGUACCUGAUAUUUUCCCCUGGGAGGUACUUGUACACUGUAAUCAAGUCACCUCUUAAUCUUCUUUUGAUAAACUAAACAGAUCGAGCUCCUUAAAUUUCUCAGCGUAAGGUAUUUUCUUCAACUCUCAAUUUUUGGGGUUCUUUUUGGAACCUCUCACAUUUUUAAAAGCAUGUUGAAAAAUUGAAUACCAGAAGUGGAUGCUGUAUUUCAAUGUUGUUCUCAUUAGUAAAAGAAGUAAAAUCAUCUCUCUAUUCCUAUUCCCUUGUUUAUAUAUCCAAGUAUCACAUUAGCCUUUUCUGCUAUAUCACCACACUGCCAGCUCAUGUUGAGUCGCUUGUCCAUUAUGACCCUUACAUCUUUUUCAGAGAUUGAUGUCAGACUAACUGGCCUAUAAUUACCUGGGUCAAACUGCUUCCCAACUUCUGAAUAUUGUCACACUAGCACUCUUCAAAUCUUCUGGAAUUUCCCUGGUAUUCCAAAAUUUAUUAAAAAUUAACGUCAACAAGCCGGAGAUCUAUGCGGCCAACUCCUUUAAGACUACUGGAUGUAAGUUGUCCAGGGCUUCUGAUUUUAAAAUAUUUAUUCUUGGCAAAUGUUAAAUAACAUCCCGUUUAGUUACUAGGGGACUGGAAUGUACAUCAUCCCACUUUUUUCCAAAUACAGAGCAGAAAUAUUUAUUGAUUUCUUCCACCUUUCUGCAUCAUUAACUAUUUUACCAUGUCUCCCGAGUAAUGGGCCAUUGUUAGCUUCUCUUUUGUUCCUAAUAUACUUAAGUACUUUUUUUUUUACUCUCCUUAGCCCUGCAUGCCUUGGAUUUUUUUCCUUGAUGUCUUUAGUUUCCCUUAUCAGUGUCUACAAUUCUGUAACUUUUUAAAAUUUAUAUAAAUUGCUAUCAACAUCCCUUUUUUGCAUUUAUUUUAUAUAUAAUUGCUGCCUUCGCUUUCUCAUUGAACGAGGAAGGACUUUGGGUAAAAGUCUUUCUUGAUUGUAGAAUGGUAGCUUUUUGGCCAUCUAACCAAAGUCUUACUAAAGAACUUCCAGUUUUCAUUCACCUGUUUCCUCCCAAUCAAUUCUACUCUUACUUUUCUUCAACUUUAGAAAAUUAGCCCUUGUUGAAGCACUAUGUUGUGUGUAUUUUACUGGUUGGGACUUUUCUCCAUGAUCUGGUUACAUUCAAUAUGGAUAAACAAUCACUGAUCCCAAGGCAACUACCAACUUUCAGUUCAAUGACUAGUUCAUCUUUAAGUGCAACAGUGAGGUUCACAAUAGUUACCUCAUGUUGGGUGCCAUCAUUUUUGUGUUAAAAAAUUAUCUGACUUUUAGAAAUUCUAAUGAUGUUUUAGUACUGGCUGCAUGAGACCUGCAUGUGUUUCCCAAAUUGGUUGGUUUUUUUUGUUUGUUUGUUUUUUUAAACACGUUAGAGGUGUGUGUAAGGAGUAACUCUCCCUCUGCUCUGGUUUGAUUUGCUUCUUCCUGGCUUUGUUAAUUAACUGGGAGCAUAUGGAUGAAAGGUAUUUUUGUUUAACACAAUAAAAAAAUUAGCCCAAAUACUAUGGGAAUGACAAACACGACUGAGACACCAAUUCUUAAAGAGAUUCAAUUAGAUUGUGAUAUUAAUGUUGAAGAUCAUAUGGGGAAGGAGAAGAGAUGGUUCUCUUUCAAAUAAUGUAUUGCUGUGUGAAAGGUGUGUGCUGUCCCUCCUCGCCCCCUUGUGGCCAUGUGCUUUGCCAUGGAUGUGCCCUGCCUUAAUUUUCCUGAUUAGGUUAUCACAUAAAAGCCUUGCUAAUUUUAUUAUCAAACUGUGUCCCUUUUAGAGGGAAUCACUUUUUAAUGGAAAACGUAAUAAAUUCAGGUAAAUUCUUUACCCAGGCUUCUUACCUGGAAGGCAUAUUUCAUCUGAGUUUCAGUCCUGCCUGAAUUCAUCCCACUCUCAGGCACUUUAUCUGCAAGACACUUUCAACCCUGUUUCCUUAAAUGGAGCCAGGGCCUUUUCAUGGCCUUCCUGACUGCUGCUUUUCUCCAGGCAGCACAAAGCUCUUUGUAGGCUGGGCCCCCUACAGCUAUGUGGGAAGUUCCUCCCUAAAUUCCUUAUCUUGGGAGUUCUCUUGCUCUGUUCCGUGGGAGCGCCUCUCCCUUAGGAACACCUGAGUGCUGGUAGCCUUUUAUCAGGUCCACGUGCUUGUUAGCCAAUUAGAUGCCAACCAGCCACUUAAGCAAUAAAUUACUUACAGGUGGGCUGAGAUGGGCUUCUCCCCUUACACCCAUCAUGGGUAGACUGGGCCCUGACUCCCUUUACACCCAUCAUGGGUAGACUGGGCCCUGACUCCCUUUAAAGGUGAAUACAGAACUGGAUUUUUAGAGCACUUCACAUUUUAGUAAUGAAAAGUGUGUAUAAUGGGGGACUCACAAUAGUGAA